GCUCCAUGUUGAACGGUGACCAUCACCCUCUCACAUAAUUGUUCCGUUUCACUUUUUCUGAAAGGAAAAAAAGGAAUUCCCUCACAAAAAAAAAGAAAUCUAUUUAUUAACAUAUUUAUCCGAGAAAAAAGAAAAACAAAUCCGGAAAAAAAAAACAUGUACGAGAGAGCAAAUUCAGAGAAAGAUCUUGGAACAAACCCUAGAAGAAAAUCAUUAAUGGCUGCAAAAUCAUGAUGAGUGCAAAAACAUAACAUAAUAUCUCCUUUACUGAAUCUCCAAUUCUCUUUUCUCUUCGACCUCUCACAGAAUUGUAACACUGAGGGUUCGAGAUCGAGAAUUUAAUGAUAAAGAAGAUCGUUGUCUGAUUCCGUUUGAAGAGUAGAUGGGGAAGAAAUUGAUGGUGGUCUGUUGAUAUCGAGAAGAAGGAAUUGAUGGAAAUUUGAUAAAUUAGGGUUUGGAUUGAGAUAUGAAGAUGAUUCUGAUAAUACUGGUGUUAACAGCGAGGAAUUGGAAUUGGGUUUUGUAUGAAUUAGGUUUUGAGAUGUUGGUGACGAGCUCUGUCCAGAAGAAUUGAUAUUAGGGUUUGGUGAUCUGAGCGAAUUCUGUUUAGAUUUAGGUAAUCUUUUUCGAUUAUGCUGUUGAAUUCAGAGAAGCAGAUUCAGAGUAAACAGCGAGGAAUUGAAGUGGUUUUGAUUGAAGUAGGUUUGGGUUUGUCUCGAAUUAACAGUUCAGAGAAGAUGAUAAUGGUAAAAUUGGAGUUAGGGUUUCUGGUGAAAUUGGAGUUAAGGUUUCUUGAUUUUUCCUGAUUGCUCUGUGAUUGAUUUCUCGGUUGAUGCACGAAUUUCUCGAAAUUGUGGCCCUCAGGUUGAUCAUGCAGAGAAGCUUGAAAAAGGAGUGUCGGAAUUGAGAACUGACAAUCGUGGGCUUGAGGUCUAUGUUUAUGGUAUCAGAAGCCAUUGUGAGCAGCAACACCAGUUUAAUCACUGUUACUACAGAAAGUGGUGAGUACCCUUCAGGAACAUACUAGGAAGAUCAAUGAAGCCUGAAGGAUUUUUAUGUACCCAAUCAGAGAGGUGUCAUGAGCGGGGAAAGGGGAAGAUGCCACUUAAACAUGAUUUUGUCUAUUUGAUCUUUGUCGCCCUUACACACAAGUGCAGUUAGACAUGUAAUAUAUAUUAACUUAAUUCAGUUUGCAUGCGCAUAAACCACUUUGUUAAUCGAUACAUCAUCUUCUACAGAGGUCCUGUACAUCACAAUGUCAGGCUUCUCUCUACGAAAGUUGGUCAAUGGAGCUCGAUAAAUGUCUCGAUCUUACAGUUUGUUAAGAAUCCUGUUUUUGGUUACUGGAUUAAGAAUCCUUUUUUUUUUGGUUACUGGAAUUAGCAUCCUCUGACUUAUAUGUUCCUUCCAUUACAGAGCAAGCACAACAGACACCUGGCCCCUACUGAUAAUCCAGACUGAUCCGUGAACGUUUGAUUGUGGAAGACCUUCCAUUCCUAGAAAAGACCUACAAAUUUGGGCACCACUAACUUAUCUGGGUUUUCUUUUAGUAUCUAUAUCUAUCAUUCUCGAAUCCUUGGCAGGGAUGGUGGUACUAUGGGAACUUGUCUUACGGAAUGGGUAGAUAUGCUCAGUUCAGUUUAGCAGAUGGGGGAUUGAUGUGUGAUGUUGUCCAUUGUGGGGAUGUGAAGAAAGCAUACUUAAUUAAAAUUCCCUCUUUGGAUUCGACAUGAUGAUUCUGCCUUUCUAGACUGUCCUCUGAGGACUUCCAAUACUAGAUUCUUGAGCAUGCUAUAGAUGGAAAAUCCAAGAUAACAUUGAGGUACUCAUAUAAAUAGCUUUUGAAGUUGUUGAGGAGCUAGCUGUUCCUGAGAAUAAAUUCAUAUAAGGGCAAAAUCAGUUUCUUUAAUAAGUGAAUAGAGUUCAAAAGAUAACAGUGGUUUGGUUGUAUGGAUUGCGCUUGACAACCACCCUCUGUAUUGUGAAGCACACAAUUUAUUUUGUGUCCAUAUUGAUGCGCUAAAGGUACGUGCAUAUCGAUUCCUUUGUCUUGCUGCUUCGUUGCUUAAGCUUUCUUAUUUUAUAUUUCAUCUGAGCAUAAUAAUUCAUGUGAAUCACUAAAAUCUUUUGGAACCUCACCUGCGGAUAGAAACGGAUGCAUUGAAUUAGGUACAUGGUUUUGAACUUGCAACUAAUAUGAUUUUGAUACUGAUCACAUCCCACACUUUCCGCUUCCUCUAGGCAGUGUACGUAGGCUGUAACAUUUUCUACCCAUGUGGUAUACUGGUGAGUUGCAGUUUCAAUGUAGAAUCAGUUCCACUUUCUCCCAGUGAUAACAUUGUAUUACCGAAGUUUUUAGAACUAUAAUGUGAAAGCGGAAAUUUACCCAAAAGAUACAACUGAUUGCAAUAUUGAACCUCUUGACAUGCAUAAUUGUUAUAAUUUUAGUUUUGAGUUAAUCAACCUAGCCAGUGUUUCUUUAUCAGUAUAGUGAUUUGGUAUCAAUUUAAAAUGUAAUUGUCAUAUGUAAUGGAAAGGUAUUUAUGUAUCUAUUAUGACAUUGUUCCUUUUACUAAGCUUACAGAAGUGCUGACAAGGUUUGGUUAAAGUUCAAAAGGAUGUGGUGAUUACAGACACGGACCUAUUCCUCCACAUUCGACUGCCAAGGCUUUUGCGUGUAUUUAAGCCAAGGAGAUAGCGAUGCUGAUGCAUUUUUUAUAAUGAUAUAAUUAUAGGGGGAUAAAUUAUAUUAUCCCCCUACAAUCAUCUUCUAUUUUCUCUUUAACCUUCGACCCUAAUUUCAGAUGUUUAUCUGUUUCAAUCGAAUCAGCUUAAUGAAAAUCAACAAUCUGGGGCUGUGCUGUAAUUGGGGAUUUCGUCAAAGUCCAUAUUUCAUAUCUCAUACACCGAGAAACAGUAAUUGGGGAUUUUUGGAGCUGUGCUGUAAUUGGGGAUUUUUAAAGUUGAUUCAAAUCAGUUGAAGUGUCGUUAAUCAGUAGAGUUUUUUAUAUAUCGAACUCUUUAAUCUUCUUUUUGUGAAUUUCUGGCGCAAUCAAAACCGGUAAUUCAAAUUUGGAUUUUUGGUUUAGGGUUCAGUAGUAUUCGAUUUGCGUUUGGUUUUUUCUGAUGGUUCAAUUAUAAGGUUUGCUGAUGGAAUAUAACAUCGUUUAAUGUCGACAGUUGUGUUUCUAAUUUGAUUGUAUUAUCAACUUUCUGUUAAGCACGAAGCUGCCUGAAUUUUGUUUUAGCAGGCUUUAUAUAAUCAGUCGUUGUGUUUUUAUAUAUAAAGUUGUCUGUAUUUCUUGCUGAAAAAAUGUCCAAGAUUUUCUCCUCUCAACUUAAUUCAUUAACGAUUUCCUAGCUUGUGAUUCGCAUAAGAAAAUCCUCUUCUUCUAUUUUACCAAUUUUGGUGUUCAAUUUAUUAGCGUUUGGCAUCAAUUAAAGUAUAUAACUUUGAUUAUUGCAGUAAUUGUUUUAAUUGAUUUCAGAAACAUGUGUGAGAGUAAUGUUAUGAGAUUCCAAUAUGUUAGGUUUUUAAAAAUUCCUAUUGGGGAAUUCAUAAAAUAGGUUAUUGUUUUGUUUAUAAGUGUUUUAUUGUAUUUAGGGACAAUCAGAGGUUGAAUUGGAGCUGUGAUCGUUGAGCAGUUUUCAUGGAUUUGCAUCCAAUUAUAGUCACCACUGAGUGCAUGAAAGAAGUUAAGUGUUCAUGGACCGUCGAAGCUGCCACAGACUGGUAAUUGUGCCUUUGUUAUGUUGUUACUCUAUCAGCAUUCCCAAAACGGAAGAGUGUUUUAUUAUUUCGAUUUGCUAUAACAUAGUUUCGAGGGAAAGAUUGAGACUAUUCUUAGUCGUCAGAACCAGCUAGCUUGCAAUUAGUUCAAUUUCAGAGAUGUUAGUCAGGUGGGUGUCCCUUGGAGCAUCAAUAUGCAUCCCAAGUUUCUGAUUCUGUCCGUAGGUAUCAUAGAAAAAAAUUAAUUGCACAACAAAUGAUGUAUUCAGCUCAAGCUUCGGCGACAAGAGGCAUUAAACAAGGUAUGCAAAAUUCUGAAGCUCAUGUAAAUCAAAAUAAGCAUCGAGGCAGUUCAAUUCCGAUGUUGAUAAAUUAAUAACGGUUAGCCGUAAACAUAUGCAAGCAACAGUGACAUGAUGGACAGUCCAGUGAUGCCAAACUCCCAUGUUCAUUCCAGCGUCACAAUAUAUUGUUAAGAAGAGACAUCGAUUCAGUAUAUAAUGGCAUAUGACAUAGAGAUACCAAUAUGUGCGAAGACUAAAGUUGGCUGGAGUCCAUCAACUUAAGAAGAAAUAAUGGCGGCAUCUACGGUAGGCUCUUUCUUAUGGAUGGGGGUGAAUGUACUGAAGCCUAAGGAACAUGAGACUUGAGAGCGGAUCCAUAGAAUAAGGAGCUGAUGUGGCUUUUUUAUGAUGUUGUAGUAAGAUGAUUCGUUCACUCAGAUUUGUUGAGAAUUUGUUUUAAGAUUUAAUAAAGAAAAUAAGGAAAAAUAUAUAUACAAAAUUUGUCACAGGAUGAAGA